UUCGGGGGACGAGGGUGACAGGUGGUGCAUGGUUGUCGUUAGCUCGUGUCGUGAGAUGUUGGGUUAAGUCCCGCAACGAGCGCAACCCUCGACCUUAGUUGCCAGCAUUCAGUUGGGCACUCUAAGGUGACUGCCGGCUAAAAGUCGGAGGAAGUGGGGAUGACGUCAAAUCAUCAUGCCCCUUAUGACCUGGGCUACACACGUGCUACAAUGGGCGGUACAAAGGGUCGCGAACCCGCGAGGGGGAGCCAAUCCCAAAAAGCCGCUCUCAGUUCGGAUUGCAGGCUGCAACUCGCCUGCAUGAAGCCGGAAUCGCUAGUAAUCGCGGAUCAGCAUGCCGCGGUCGAAUACGUUCCCGGGCCUU
rnacentral:rRNA from 1 species